rnacentral:rRNA from 1 species
UAGAGUUUGAUCCUGGCUCAGGAUGAACGCUGGCGGCGUGCCUAACACAUGCAAGUCGAGCGAGAAAUCCAUGAUCGAAACUUCGGUUGAUUGAUUGGACGGAAAGCGGCGGACGGGUGAGUAACGCGUAGGCAACCUGCCUCUGGCUGAGGGACAGCCUCGGGAAACCGGGAUUAAUACCUCAUAACACGAAGGGAAGACAUCUUUUUUUCGUCAAAGAUUUAUCGGCGAUGGAUGAGGAUGCGUCUGAUUAGGUAGAUGGCGGGGUAACGGCCCACCAUGCCUUCGAUCAGUAGGGGUUCUGAGAGGAAGGUCCCCCACAUUGGAACUGAGACACGGUCCAAACUCCUACGGGAGGCAGCAGUGAGGAAUAUUGGUCAAUGGACGAGAGUCUGAACCAGCCAAGUAGCGUGAAGGAAGACUGCCCUAUGGGUUGUAAACUUCUUUUGUUUGGGAAUAAAGUGAGGGACGUGUCCCUUUUUGUAUGUACCAUUCGAAUAAGCAUCGGCUAAUUCCGUGCCAGCAGCCGCGGUAAUACGGAAGAUGCGAGCGUUAUCCGGAUUUAUUGGGUUUAAAGGGAGCGUAGGCGGCCUGUUAAGUCAGCGGUUAAAUGUCAGUGCCCAACAUUGGCAUGCCGUUGAUACUGGUGGGCUUGAAUACACACAAGGAUGGUGGAAUUCGUUGUGUAGCGGUGAAAUGCUUAGAUAUGACGAAGAACUCCGAUUGCGAAGGCAGCCAUCUGGGGUGCGAUUGACGCUGAGGCUCGAAAGUGCGGGAAUCAAACAGGAUUAGAUACCCUGGUAGUCCGCACCGUAAACGAUGAAUGCUCGUUCUGGGCGAUAUACUGUCCGGGACUUAGGGAAACCAUUAAGCAUUCCACCUGGGGAGUACGCCGGCAACGGUGAAACUCAAAGGAAUUGACGGGGGCCCGCACAAGCGGAGGAACAUGUGGUUUAAUUCGAUGAUACGCGAGGAACCUUACCCGGGCUUGAACUGCGACUGACCGGCAUAGAGAUAUGCUUUCCCUUCGGGGCAGUUGUGGAGGUGCUGCAUGGUUGUCGUCAGCUCGUGCCGUGAGGUGUCGGCUUAAGUGCCAUAACGAGCGCAACCCUUGCUGUCAGUUGCCAUCACGUAAUGGUGGGCACUCUGGCGGGACUGCCAUCGCAAGAUGUGAGGAAGGUGGGGAUGACGUCAAAUCAGCACGGCCCUUACGUCCGGGGCUACACACGUGUUACAAUGGGGGGCACAGCGCGCCGCUACCUGGUGACAGGCUGCCAAUCGUGAAAUCCCCUCUCAGUUCGGACUGGAGUCUGCAACCCGACUCCACGAAGCUGGAUUCGCUAGUAAUCGCGCAUCAGCCAUGGCGCGGUGAAUACGUUCCCGGGCCUUGUACACACCGCCCGUCAAG